AUUGAACGCUGGCGGCAUGCCUCACACAUGCAAGUCGAACGGCAGCACGGGAGCUUGCUCCUGGUGGCGAGUGGCGAACGGGUGAGUAAUACAUCGGAACGUACCCUGAAGUGGGGGAUAACGUAGCGAAAGUUACGCUAAUACCGCAUAUUCUGUGAGCAGGAAAGAGGGGGAUCGCAAGACCUCUUGCUUUAGGAGCGGCCGAUGUCGGAUUAGCUAGUUGGUGAGGUAAAGGCUCACCAGGGCGACGAUCCGUAGCGGGUCUGAGAGGAUGAUCCGCCACACUGGGACUGAGACACGGCCCUAGACUCCUACGGGAGGCAGCAGUGGGGAAUUUUGGACAAUGGGCGCAAGCCUGAUCCAGCCAUGCCGCGUGAGUGAAGAAGGCC
rnacentral:rRNA from 1 species